rnacentral:rRNA from 1 species
CCUACGGGAGGCAGCAGUGGGGAAUAUUGCACAAUGGGCGCAAGCCUGAUGCAGCGACGCCGCGUGAGGGAUGACGGCCUUCGGGUUGUAAACCUCUUUCAGUAGGGAAGAAGCGUAAGUGACGGUACCUGCAGAAGAAGCGCCGGCUAACUACGUGCCAGCAGUCGCGGUAAUACGUAGGGCGCAAGCGUUAUCCGGAAUUAUUGGGCGUAAAGAGCUCGUAGGCGGUUUGUCGCGUCUGCCGUGAAAGUCCGGGGCUCAACUCCGGAUCUGCGGUGGGUACGGGCAGACUAGAGUGAUGUAGGGGAGACUGGAAUUCCUGGUGUAGCGGUGAAAUGCGCAGAUAUCAGGAGGAACACCGAUGGCGAAGGCAGGUCUCUGGGCAUUAACUGACGCUGAGGAGCGAAAGCAUGGGGAGCGAACAGGAUUAGAUACCCUGGUAGUCCAUGCCGUAAACGUUGGGCACUAGGUGUGGGGGACAUUCCACGUUUUCCGCGCCGUAGCUAACGCAUUAAGUGCCCGCCUGGGGAGUACGGCCGCAAGGCUAAACUCAAAUUGAAUUGACGGCUGNGNGNGCGAGCGACGACGAGGAGAG